UUCAUCAAAUGUUUUGAAUAGUUUCAGAAAAGCAUGAAAUUCGGAAUCUCACAUUAUUCCACGAGUAACGGUUAGUUUUUCAGUGUAUAUUUAAAUAUCGAGCUUGUUACAACUAUGGUCAAUAUGGGCCAUCAGCCAGUCGUCCAAGAAAGCAGGCACAUGAUCUUUGUUUGUAUCAAAAAACUAACGCUAGAAUAGAUUGUUUGCUAACUUAAAAGCUGUUGGAUUUUUGGAAAGCAAUCGUUAACGUUAUUCAGGGCGUUCUGAGGAUCUGUUUACUGUAAAUCAUAAGAGAGGGACUACAGCCUAAUUCAUGACUCAUUUGCGAAAGAACAAGGAAAAAGUACCGAGGCAAAUUGUCCAUAAAGUUUUCCACCAAGUUUCAAACAUUAAAAUAUCAGUCGACGCUUGGAACCGCCUCACGUGUACACUCUUAGACAGCUGUUGUGACUUGCUGGUCGCAGGGAAGAGCUUUCCACUUUGACUUGCCUGCACUUUUCGACGCCAGUGACUUACGUUUACUAAAUUUCACUUGCUUAAAUUCAAAUAUCGAAUACAUAAAACCUCUCCAUAGCUUUUUAAACGCGACAUGCAUCAGCGAGGCUUAAUUCGUUGAAUACUGCUUGGACCUUGGCUGAGCUGUGACUGCUUUUAUAAAACAGCUAUAUCUUAUCAGAUCCAGAGUCUUCAAACUAUGGCAGAUGAUUAACAAAUAUCGUCCGAAUGAGUAUAAUUGCAUUUAUAAUAUCCCACAAUUGACAAGUGGAGUAGACGAACGGAACUGCCUUCUUUCAUGCAAGAUAUGAAGUAAUAUUUUGAUUAUAAACAUUUAUUUUUCUUUAUAAAUCUAUGUGUUGAUAUUCUU